AAUGUUCCAUUGUCCUGCUUCU
rnacentral:snRNA from 1 species